GACGAACGCUGGCGGCGUGCUUAACACAUGCAAGUCGAACGGAAAGGCCCUGCUUUUGUGGGGUGCUCGAGUGGCGAACGGGUGCGUAACACGUGAGUAACCUGCCCUUGACUUUGGGAUAACUUCAGGAAACUGGGGCUAAUACCGGACAGGAGCUCCUGCUGCAUGGUGGGCGUUGGAAAGUUUCGGCGGUUGGGGAUGGACUCGCGGCUUAUCAGCUUGUUGGUUGGGUAGUGGCUGACCCAGGGUUUGAAGGGUAGCCGGCACGUGAGGGGGACCGGCCACAUGGGGACUGAGAUAGGGACCAGACGCGAAUGGGGGGCAGUAGGGGGGAAUAUGGCACAGUGGGAGGGAGCGUGAGGCAGAAACGCCGGGGGCGGGAUGACGGCCUGCGGGGUGUAAACCGCUUUCGCCUGUGACGAAGCGUGAGUGACGGUAAUGGGUAAAGAAGCACCGGCUAACUACGUG
rnacentral:rRNA from 1 species